AUUGAACGCUGGCGGCAUGCUUUACACAUGCAAGUCGAACGGUAACAGGCCGCAAGGUGCUGACGAGUGGCGAACGGGUGAGUAAUGCAUCGGAACGUGCCCAGUCGUGGGGGAUAACGCAGCGAAAGCUGUGCUAAUACCGCAUACGAUCUAGGGAUGAAAGCGGGGGACCGUAAGGCCUCGCGCGAUUGGAGCGGCCGAUGUCGAAUUAGGUAGUUGGUGGGGUAAAGGCUCACCAAGCCAACGAUCUGUAGCUGGUCUGAGAGGACGACCAGCCACACUGGGACUGAGACACGGCCCAGACUCCUACGGGAGGCAGCAGUGGGGAAUUUUGGACAAUGGGCGCAAGCCUGAUCCAGCAAUGCCGCGUGCAGGAAGAAGGCCUUCGGGUUGUAAACUGCUUUUGUACGGAACGAAAAGGUUUGGGUUAAUACCCUGGGCCGAUGACGGUACCGUAAGAAUAAGCACCGGCUAACUACGUGCCAGCCGCCGCCGUAA
rnacentral:rRNA from 1 species